rnacentral:tRNA from 1 species
GUUUCUGUGGCGCAAUCGGUUAGCGCGUUCGGCUGUUGACUGAAAGGUUGGUGGUUCAAGCCCACCCAGGGACG